rfam:Asian citrus Psyllid, Diaphorina citri - Florida Strain, whole genome shotgun sequence.
GCCUCGUUAGCUUGGAGGGUAGCGCGUCUGCCUUGUAAGCGGUAGGUCGCGGGUUCGGUUCCCACCUGGGGCG